GGCGAGCACUGCGCGCCGGCGGCUGUGACGGGGCAGAGCGCACGACGCCGCCGCCGCCUACGCGCGAGCCGCUACAACCUCCGACCGUCGUCGCCGCCGGCACAGGAGGGGGGCCAAGACGUCUCUCCAACGCGGGGCGAGCGCAGGACCGCGCCAGGCGUCCAAAAGAAGGAAGAUGCCUCGCGGCGACAGGGAAAGCGACUGGAGGGAAAAGGAGCAGUUCCGCAAACUGUUUAUUGGUGGCUUGAGCUUUGAAACCACAGAAGAAAGCUUGAGGAGUUACUAUGAGCAAUGGGGAAAGCUUACAGACUGUGUGGUAAUGAGGGAUCCUGCAAGCAAAAGAUCAAGGGGGUUCGGUUUYGUAACAUUCUCUUCCAUGGCUGAAGUUGAUGCGGCUAUGGCUGCAAGACCUCACACAAUUGAUGGAAGGGUGGUUGAGCCUAAGAGAGCUGUGGCUAGAGAGGAAUCUGGAAAACCUGGUGCUCAUGUUACUGUGAAAAAACUAUUUGUUGGUGGUAUUAAAGAGGACACUGAAGAGCACCACCUUCGUGACUACUUUGAGGAAUAUGGAAAAAUUGACACUAUUGAAAUAAUUACUGACCGACAGUCUGGUAAAAAGAGAGGGUUUGGAUUUGUUACAUUUGAUGACCAUGAUCCUGUGGAUAAAAUUGUAUUGCAGAAAUACCACACCAUCAAUGGCCAUAAUGCAGAAGUAAGGAAAGCUCUCUCUAGACAGGAAAUGCAGGAGGUUCAAAACUCUAGGAGUGGGAGAGGAGGGAACUUUGGUUUUGGUGAUGCUCGUGGAGGUGGUGGCAACUUUGGUCCAGGACCUGGCAGCAAUUUCAGAGGGGGAGCUGAUGGAUAUGGAAGUGGCCGUGGAUUUGGUGAUGGAUAUAAUGGAUAUGGUGGAGGACCUGGAGGUGGCAACUUUGGUGGCAGUCCUGGUUACGGAGGAGGAAGAGGAGGAUAUGGUGGAGGAGGACCUGGAUAUGGCAACCAGGGUGGGGGCUAUGGAGGUGGUUAUGACAACUAUGGAGGAGGCAAUUAUGGAAGUGGAAACUAUAAUGAUUUUGGAAACUACAACCAACAACCUUCAAAUUAUGGUCCGAUGAAGAGUGGAAAUUUUGGUGGCAGCAGGAACAUGGGGGGACCAUAUGGUGGAGGAAACUAUGGUCCUGGGGGCAGUGGAGGAAGUGGUGGAUAUGGAGGGAGGAGCCGUUACUGAGUUUUCUCAAGCAUGCCAUGGCUAUGAUAUGAACCCUGGACAAGCAUAGACUGCUGCCACUGUACACUGCUACAGUUGAACAAAUGAGACCUGCAAGUGUCCAUUAGUAAAGCUUUGCAAGGGUUCCAUCCCUGGUGUUGGUAGUUAAAAUGGAAGGUGCCAUGCUGCAGGUAACUAAUGAAGAAGUGGUCAACCACAGAAACGCUUCAAGAAAUAAGAAAUUCUGUAUCAUCAGAAAAUAGUUGUUUUUGCUGCCUUCAUUAAAAAUCUAGAGGUUAAAUGAAUACUGAUAAAAGAUCACAAUUAGUACAGCUCCCUGUAAUGAUGGGUUUUUAAAUUAUAGUAAUGUCUUGUAAGCCUUUCGAAUAAAUUCAGAUUCGUUAGGAGAAACAAAUCACUAAUGUUAAAAUAGCAAACAUUCUGUGAGUAGAAAAUUUAACUACAUAUAUUUAUAACUUUCAUAGCUUUAAAAUAAAGUAUUUUUAUACCAAAGUAGUUCUAGUGUAAUGCUUAAUAAAAACUUAGUGUGUAUCUAACAUUAAAUAAUGUUUAUGUUUAGACCCUUUUCAUGAUUUGAAACAUUCCAUUUUGAGGUGAAUUUAAAACAAAAUCAGUUUGACAAGUGUGUUCACAGAACUUGUUUCUCUGACCAUAGGCAUCUGUUCUCUGUUGGGAGAAACAGUGCUUCAAAUUUAAAGUGCUGAUGUCUUUACUGUUGGACACAGGUGCUUAAAAAUACCUUUUUUUGGCUGUGUUUUAUAUUACUUCUUUCCUGUUAAUGGAACUAAUGACCUAAGUCAGUUUGUCAGAUUGUGAUAGGACAAGAACUUUUACUUUUUCACCUGUAAAGAGGUUUUCGUGCGAAGACUGACUGGAAUGUAGAGUUCCUGCUGUACAAAACUGUAUUAUUGAUAGCUCCAUCUGGGGACGGAAAAAAAUACCAAAACAAAAAUUUGCAAACGAAAACACUAUCAAACACCAAGUGUUUGGGAGAACUUCAGCUGGGAGUSUAUUUAAGGAAUGGUAUCUUGAGGUUAUACUGUUUUAACCACUUCAUACAUGGUUUAUUCGAAACUUGAAAUUUAUAUGUUUUGGCAGAAUCAUUGUGUCUAACCUUUAUAAUACUGUUUAAGGAUUCACAUACAAUUUUUUUUUUCUGUUUCUUAAGUUGAACUUUGCAAUAUUUGUAUAGGUAACUGGUGGGCUGCAACGGAAGCAGAAAAUGAAGAUGCACAAAUCUGCUUUACUUUCUUCUUUCCAACAGAAUGACCAGAUCAUAAGGAAUUUGCCUUCUUUCCUGUGACUUAGAUGUCGUUGAUGGAAGUUUUUUCUUUACAGUUGCCAAGUCCACAUUCUUACGCCAUUUUAAAACAUCAAAAUAAUUUCAAAGGGCAGUAAUUACUUUUCUGUUUGAGAUACUCUUUCAGUAGUUUUGCAGUAAGGCUUAAAAUUUACUUGAAUUAAGAAUAUUUUCCAUGAUGAGGGUGUUCUCAUUUUGAUCUGUUGGCAGUGGGGGAAGGGAGKGUGUAGGGAUACAGCAUUGUGCAAGAAUGAAGUUACUGGGUAUUUGAAGUCUUGACACUACGGUGUAGUUAAGUUUCCUGAUGUCCUACCUAUGAACUUACUCACGACUUUUCUCUUGGUAUGUUCUUAAGGCAAGUGACAGUCACAAUGUUCACCAAUUAGUUUGGUGAGAGAAGUCACAUUUUUCAGUCAACCUCAUACUGGAAGUUAGCAACUUCAAAUAAAAAUAGCAUUGUGUGGUCAAUUACUGGUUAUCAGUUYGUAGACAAUGUACUCUUGAUUUCUGUCAGAUUGGGUCUUGUCACGACAAGACUUUUUCAAAGUAAGCAUAACAUUACAGUGUUUUCAGGUACUAAAUGCUGAGGAUCAGGUUCUCAGUACUAGGCCCCCAGCAAACACUUUGUGCUGCAAACUGAGGGAAAAAGAAAAACAACAACUUGUUGAUAACUGUUUUGUGAGCCAAAGAACACCAAAAUUAGUGUAUGACUUGUAUUUAURAAGUGAUGGUGAAAAGAGGUUAGUAGUAGGAUUCUGACCACUCACACUUUAUUUACAAUGAACAUUGAAUUUCAGUUGUUCUGCUGCAAGUGCUGAAAAGCACUUAGGAAAAUGUGAACAAUGGCUUUUAAUGCAGUAAAAUCAACAGGACUUGGACUCUGAUGUGUGGGAAAGAAGAAUUGCAUUCUUUCAGUGUUACUAUGAAUAUAUAUGUUAUCUUGGUGAUGAAGUAGUUUCAUUUCUGGGGAAGAAUGUACAAGCCCUAGAAAUGGAUGUGAAUUUUCAAGCAGUUGUCAGCUGAGUUUGUCUUGGCAGCUUGACCUCAUCUGUGGUAGAGGAACAUGCUGGGACUGUACAUUCCCUGUAGGUUUAAUGUUUCAUUUUGGUUUUGAAGCAGAGCAUGUGAUGCAAGUGAAACCCCAGAGUAGUGCUGUUAUUCUUUCCCACCUAAGGGAGAUGGCUGUUUCUCUUCAUGUUUAUUCAGCCAUACAUUGAAUGGUGUCUAGGGGUGCAUAGGAGUGUUAAAUGGAACGGUUUGCCUGGGUAAUAAUGAUGUAUUUUGCCAGAAGUACUGUCCCUUCUAACARUCGUGUUCUCGUUUUGCAGCUACUGUUGGUUUAUGUUGCACAGAAAUUUCAGUGUUGUCAGGAGUUACUCCAGUUAAUGGAACAAGAACUGGUUUAUCGGCAGUAAAAUUAACAGUGUAUGAAUAGCUGUGUGAUUUGCGGUCACUGCUAUGAACAUAGUAGGUCAACAGUGUUUGGGGACCUUGURGUUACAAACUAGCUUAUGUGACCUCCCAUACCACUUCACUAUAUCAGAAAGGGUGACGGGGAAAGUCGUAGAAAAUUUGCAGUUAUUAGCAGUCUUCGCGCUUCUUGGUCAGUUUUGGGGCAUUCUUGUAGGAGAAUGGGUGGCUGGUGGAUGGACUACAUGGAGUUCUAGUAACUGCGCAGCAGAUGUCAAAUUGCAGCACUUUAUGAAGUACACUACACUAACAAAACUUCACACGGUUACAUCUGCCAUCUCUAUGCGGUUUACUUAAUAAAUAAUUUUUCAUUACA